CCACCACCCACCCAGCCCUCCCUAUCACCGUUAAACCGCCGCCUAGCCCUCCCAAAGCCCCGCCCUGCCCCUUCCCGUCGCUGCCCUUCCCCUCUCCCCGCAAAUCUGCCCCUCCCCGCCCCUCGCAAAUGAAUUUAUUUGAAUUUGAAAUGAUUUGCAGUUUGUUUGAUAUUUGAAAGUUGAUUUAGGAUGUUUAGUGUACGAAAACAUUUUAGAUCUGAGGUAUUUGGUUGUAUUAAUAUGUUGUGUUCUGAUGAUUGAAGUUUUGAUUGAGUUUGUCUAGAUCUAAUUAUGUUGGCAUAGAGUUGAGUAUUUCUGGGCAGCGACGGGAAUACUGGGAUCCAUUCGUGGCUAGGCUUCAUUCGUGGCUGAGGGAGGAUUUGCGAGGGGCGGGGACGGCCGGCGAAGGGAGGCGCACGGUGAGGGAGCAGCGGCGAGGGGUUUGGUGGCUGGGUGGUGGCUGGAAACGGUGGAGAGUGAAAGUGUAGGUGGCUGUGUGGUGGUGGUGUGGUGGUGGGGCUCAUUCUCUUUGUUAUAAAACAAACAGCAUACACAAUUUUAGGUGGAUAACUAUUGGAUAAGGUCAACACCUUCGUUGUGCACCAUUACUAAUAGUCCAAUCAAAAUUUAAUUUUGGAAUAGGCAAGGUGUAACUUGGUCAUUCUCCUCCUAUGUAAUAAGCAUGCCUAGAGAAUAGGAGAUAAUAUUGCAAAUGGAAAAACAUGUUAGCAUGGCUACCAAAACCUCAAACUCCACCACCAAAAGAACAUGCCUUUGCUCUCCUACCACCCAUCAAGGCUCUUUCCGGUGCAGCUUCCACCGCGGCCGACGAAAGUUUCCGAUGAGAUCUCCACCAGCAAAGCCCAAAUUCAGGAAAAUUGAGCCCAACAGUGCCAUAAAGACCAACCUGUUGAAGGCCUUAUUGUUACAGAUUAUCAACCCAUCAAGACAUGACCUCCAAAGGCGUUGGCGCUUUAAGCACAAGCCCACCAGGUUUAGCCUAUCUUAGAAUAACAAUACACUUUUGGUUAGGUGAUUGUUUUUUUACACAAAAAUUAUAAAUGUUCCUCUAUUUUAUUUUUGUUAUCUUUGUUAAAUUUUGAGGAGUUCAAAGAUAUAUUGUAAGACUCCUAUAAGAGUAUUGAUUUUGUUUUUUUGUAUUUUUAUUGGUAUACAUUACAAUUUACAAACACAACUGAAUUUUUAUGGAAUAUCUUUGUUUGUUU